GACGAACGCUGGCGGCGUGCCUAAUACAUGCAAGUUGAGCGCUGAAGGUUGGUACUUGUACCAACUGGAUGAGCAGCGAACGGGUGAGUAACGCGUGGGGAAUCUGCCUUAGAGCGGGGGACAACAUUUGGAAACGAAUGCUAAUACCGCAUAAAAACUUUAAACACAAGUUUUAAGUUUGAAAGAUGCAAUUGCAUCACUCAAAGAUGAUCCCGCGUUGUAUUAGCUAGUUGGUGAGGUAAAGGCUCACCAAGGCGAUGACACAUAGCCGACCUGAGAGGGUGAUCGGCCACAUUGGGACUGAGACACGGCCCAAACGCCUACGGGAGGCAGCAGUAGGGAAUCUUCGGCAAUGGACGAAAGUCUGACCGAGCAACGCCGCGUGAGUGAAGAAGGUUUUCGGAUCGUAAAACUCUGUUGGUAGAGAAGAACGUUGGUGAGAGUGGAAAGCUCAUCAAGUGACGGUAACUACCCAGAAAGGGACGGCUAACUACGUG
rnacentral:rRNA from 1 species